rnacentral:rRNA from 1 species
UGCGUAGGCGGACUUUUAAGUCAGUGGUGAAAUCCCGAGGCUCAACCUCGGAACUGCCAUUGAUACUGGAAGUCUUGAAUUUGGUUGAAGUGGGCGGAAUGUAGCAUGUAGCGGUGAAAUGCUUAGAUAUGCUACAGAACACCGAUCGCGAAGGCAGCUCACUAAGCCAAUAUUGACGCUCAGGCACGAAAGCGUGGGGAGCAAACAGGAUUAGAUACCCUGGUAGUCC